rnacentral:rRNA from 3 species
UACGUAGGGGGCCAGCGUUGUCCGGAUUCAUUGGGCGUAAAGCGCGUGUAGGCGGCCAGGUAGGUCCGAUGUGAAAUCUGGAGGCUCAACCUCCAGCGGUCAUUGGAAACCAUCUGGCUAGAGUCCGGAAGAGGAGAGUGGAAUUCCUGGUGUAGCGGUGAAAUGCGCAGAUAUCAGGAAGAACACCAAUGGCGAAGGCAGCUCUCUGGGACGGUACUGACGCUGAGACGCGAAAGCGUGGGGAGCGAACAGG